CUGCUCCUCUAUCUAAUGGUCUUUCCAGGCUUCUUUCUUUUCCACUGCCUUCUAUGGGUGUGUUCUCAUGGAGAGACCAGGUUCAUGCCUUAAUACUGCGCGUGGACUCCUCCCUUCUAAACCAGAUUCAACCAGAGAACAGCAGUAAAAGACUCUCUUUGCUCCUGCAUCUGCCAUGACGCUGUGUAUGCAGCUGGCACACUCUCAUUGUUUCCACUCUGACUAGAGGGAAAAGCAAAAAUCCACAAUGUGCUGCUCUGAGAGAGAAUGAAGUAAAAUAAAUAAAUUAAUGCAAUGGUUGGAAAAUCUCAUGGUAAGUUUGUUGGCAAUGACUCCAUCUUUUUGAUGACAUCACCACUCUGGCUGUGGCUGAGUAGCCCCUGUGGAUUCAAAUGUCACAGGACCUUGUUUUUAUUUCAGUUUUGCCUUUUUUAAAACCUUUUCUUAAUAAAGAGCUUAGUUUAACUUAAGGCCCAAUCACAAGGCAUACAUCGUCAACUUUAGGGGCUGAGACUAGUCACCUCUGCAGUACUAGUUUUGAUUGAGUUCUAGCAGAAAGCUUGGUAUUGAUUCUGUGCCUUUGUGAAGGAAAGAAACCUUGUGACUUGGUCUGCUGUUGCAUGUUUGAUGGUGUGCGGCACAGACAAAAGCAAUUUAGUGUCUGUGGUAAUACUUAACAAGGAAACUAUGUCAAAAAUGUGUAUGUGGUGCCCAGAAGGAGUGUUUUUGUGAUUUUUUUUUUUUUUUUUGUAUCCCUUGCAAAUUACCCAGACAGAGCUAUACAAUGAAA